CUAUAUACUUAACACAUCAGGGUCCAGCAACAUAAACCUCGAUUUUCGGGGUUUUUUGUUAUCUGUACUUUUCGAUUUUCGAAAUUGUAUGGGUAGUUUGCUUGGGAUUUAAAUUGGGCUCUGAGCCCUUUUUUU
rfam:Vibrio genomosp. F6 str. FF-238 FF-238_contig_293, whole genome shotgun sequence.